GGUUGCUUAGCUUAAUGGUACAAAGCACUUAACUGGAGUUUCAGAGAUACAGGGUUCAAUCCCCAAUAGUGGCCU
rnacentral:tRNA from 1 species